rnacentral:rRNA from 1 species
UACGUAGGGUGCGAGCGUUAAUCGGAAUUACUGGGCGUAAAGCGUGCGCAGGCGGUUCGCCCAAGUCAGGUGUGAAAAUCCCCUGGGCUUAACCUGGGAAUUGCGCUUGAAACUAGCGGGCUUGAGUGUGGCAGAGGUGUGUGGAACUCGAGUGUAGAGGUGAAAUUCGUAGAUAUUCGGAAGAACACCAGUGGCGAAGGCGACACACUGGCUCACUACUGACGCUGAGGCGCGAAAGCGUGGGGAGCAAACAGG